AGCAGCCGCGGUAAUUCCAGCUCCAAUAGCGUAUAUUAAAGUUGUUGCAGUUAAAAAGCUCGUAGUUGAAUUUCGGGAUCAAGGAAUCGGUCAUGCCUUGGUAUGUACUGGUUUUAUUGGUUCUCACCUUCUAAAGAACCAUAAUGUCAUUCAUUUGAUGUUAUGGGGAAUUAGGACUGUUACCUUGAAAAAAUUAGAGUGUUUAAAGCAGGCUUACGCUUGAAUACAUUAGCAUGGAAUAAUGAAAUAGGACAUCAGAUUCUAUUUUGUUGGUUUCUAGGAUCGAUGUAAUGAUUAAUAGGGAUAGUUGGGGGCAUUAGUAUUCAAUUGUCAGAGGUGAAAUUCUUGGAUUUAUUGAAGACUAACUACUGCGAAAGCAUUUGCCAAGGAUGUUUUCAUUAAUCAAGAACGAAAGUUAGGGGAUCGAAGACGAUCAGAUACCGUCGUAGUCUUAACCAUAAACUAUGCCGACUAGGGAUCGGAUGAUGUUAAUUUUUUAAUGACUCAUUCGGCACCUUACG
rnacentral:rRNA from 1 species